rnacentral:rRNA from 1 species
UCAAAAACAUUGUCUCAUGUAUAAUAUAUGAGAUAAUACCUGCCCAGUGACAACUGUUCAACGGCCGCGGUAUCCUAACCGUGCAAAGGUAGCAUAAUCACUUGCCUAUUAAUUGUAGGCUAGAAUGAAGGGGUUAACGAAAUAAAGACUGUCUCAAUUAAUUAACUAAAAAUUAUUUUCUACCUGAAGAAAAGUAGAUAAACUCGAAGGACAAGAAGACCCUAUAGAGCUUAAUUUUACCUAUAGAACUAUACUAUAAAAAUAUUCGGUUGGGGCGACCCAGGGCUAAAUAAUCACCCAUCAUAUAAAAGAUAAAUUAAUCAAACAAAUGACCCUUAAAAGAUCACAAAACCAAGCUACCUUAGGGAUAACAGGCUAAUCCCACUCAAGAGUCCUUAUCAACAGUGGGGUUUGGCACCUCGAUGUUGGCUUAGGGUAUCUAUAUAGCGCAAAAGUUAUAUAAAGAUGGUUUGUUCAACCAAUAAUUCCCUACGUGAUCUGU